ACAGAAAAGAAAAAACUAAAAAAAAACAGGGUAAAAAAGAAAAAGAAAAAAAGUACACGCGAUAUUUGUUUUCCGCUUUAAAAUCCAACCUUUUGUUGUUACUUCAUCUACACAUUGUGUACGUGUGUGUGUGGUC
rnacentral:ribozyme from 1 species